rnacentral:lncRNA from 1 species
CUCAUAGAUUCUGGAUAUUAGAACUUUGUCAGAUGCAUAGUUUGCAAAUAUUUCUUCCCAUUCUGCUUUUCAUAGAAUUAGAAAAAAAAACUAUUUUAAAGUUCGUAGGGAACCAAAAGAGAGUCCAAAUAGCCCAAGCAAUCCUAAGCAAAAAGAAGAAAACUGGAGGCAUCACACUUCCUGACUUCAAACUACACUACAAGGCUACAGUAACAAGGACAGCUUGGUACUGGUACAAAGACUGACACAUAGAGCAAUGGACUAGGUUAAGAAUCCAGAAAUAAAGCUUCACACAAACAACCAUCUGAUCUUUGACAAAGUUGACAAUAACAAGCAAUGGGAAAAAGACUCCCAAUUCAAUAAAUAAUGUUGGGAUAACUGGUUGGCCAGUUCAAUAUGUGGAAGAUUGAAACUGGACCCCUUCAUUUCACCAUAUACAAAAAUCAACUCAAGAUAUAGUAAUGACUUAAAUAUAAGCCCUAAAACUCAAAAAACUCUAGAAGAAAAUACCAUUCUGGACAUAGGUCUUGGCAAGAUUUCAUGAUGAAGUCUCCAAUAGCAAUCGCUACGAAAACAAAACCAGACAACUGAGGCUUAAUUAAACUAAAGAGCUUCUGCAUAGCAAAAGAAACUAUGAACAGAGUAAACGUUUGAGUUGUCUUGGCUCUUAUGGAGCUUCCUUCUCUUUCCUUUCUGUAUUAGUAAUAUUUGGAAAUGGAUGUCGUCUAAUCUUUUCCUCUCUCCAAAACAAGGUUCCUUUGUUUCUAAAGCAUUAACAGGAACUGGGGACUGAAAGUGUCUCCCAGGUGUCUCCUCAGCAUUGAACAAUCUCUGAAGUCACUGCCUCCCAGCACUGCUCAGACUCAGUAACCAAAACAGCAUGGUACUGGUACCAAAACAGAGAUAUAGACCGAUGGAACAGAACAGAGCCUUCAGAAAUAAUACUACACAUCUACAACCAUCUGAUCUUUGAUAAACCUGACAAAAACAAGAAAUGGGGAAAGGACUCCCUAUUUAACAAAUGGUGCUGGGAAAACUGGCUAGGCAUAUGUAGAAAGCUGAAACUGGAUCCCUUCCUUAUACCUUAUACAAAAAUCAAUUCAAGAUGGAUUAAAGACUUAAAUGUAAG